GACGUAGGGCGCGAGCGUUGUCCGGAAUUAUUGGGCGUAAAGAGCUUGUAGGCGGUUUGUCGCGUCUGCUGUGAAAUUUCGGGGCUCAACCCCGAACUUGCAGUGGGUACGGGCAGACUAGAGUGUGGUAGGGGAGACUGGAAUUCCUGGUGUAGCGGUGAAAUGCGCAGAUAUCAGGAGGAACACCGAUGGCGAAGGCAGGUCUCUGGGCCAUAACUGACGCUGAGAAGCGAAAGCAUGAGGAGCGAACAGG
rnacentral:rRNA from 1 species